AAAGACUUAGUCCUAACCUUACAGUUAAUUCUUACCAAACAUAUACAUGCAAGUAUCUGCACUCCAGUGUAAAUGCCCCCACAACUUCGCCGAAGACAAAGGAGCUGGUAUCAGGCACACCCACCGUAGUAGCCCAAAACACCUUGCUUCGCCACACCCCCACGGGUAUUCAGCAGUAAUUAACAUUAAGCAAUAAGUGUAAACUUGACUUAGUUAUGGUAAAUAAUCAGGGUUGGUAAAUCUUGUGCCAGCCACCGCGGUCAUACAAGAAACCCAAAUUAACUGUAUGCGGCGUAAAGAGUGGUACAACGCUAUCACACUAACUAAGGCUGAAACAUAACCAAGCCGUCAUAAGCCAAAGUUAUUCCUAAGCACACCCUAAAAACGACCCUAGUACUCACGAUAGACCUACUACCACGAAAGCUAUGACACAAACUGGGAUUAGAUACCCCACUAUGCCUAGCCAUAAAUCCAGAUCCUCCCCUCACCUGAGUAUCCGCCCGAGAAUUACGAGCACAAACGCUUAAAACUCUAAGGACUUGGCGGUGCCCCAAACCCACCUAGAGGAGCCUGUUCUGUAAUCGAUAACCCACGAUACACCUAACCACUUCUAGCCGCAAACAGCCUAUAUACCGCCGUCGCCAGCUCGCCUUAAUUGAGAGUACAGCAGCAAGCACAAUAGCCACUACACGCGCUAAAAAGACAGGUCAAGGUAUAGCCCAUGAAGUGGAAGAAAUGGGCUACAUUUUCUAUAAUAGAACACUAACGAAAAAGGGCAUGAAAUUACCCCUAGAAGGCGGAUUUAGCAGUAAAUAAAGAUAAUAAUGCUUUUUUUAAGAUGGCCCUGGGGCACGUACAUACCGCCCGUCACCCUCCUCAUAUGCUACCCAACAAUGAUACUUAAUACAAAUAACCAGCUAUAAGAAGAGGC
rnacentral:ncRNA from 1 species